rnacentral:rRNA from 1 species
CUACAGAGGGUGCGAGCGUUAAUCGGAAUUACUGGGCGUAAAGCGCGCGUAGGCGGUUAUUUAAGUCAGAUGUGAAAUCCCUGGGCUCAACCUAGGAACUGCAUCUGAAACUGGGUAACUAGAGUUUAGGGGAGGGGAGUAGAAUUUCGGGUGUAGCGGUGAAAUGCAUAGAGAUCCGAAGGAAUACCAGUGGCGAAGGCGACUCCCUGGCCUAGAACUGACGCUGAGGUGCGAAAGCGUGGGUAGCAAACGGGAUUAGAAACCCUAGUAGUCC